rnacentral:rRNA from 1 species
AGCGCAGGCGGUUUUGUAAGACAGUGGUGAAAUCCCCGGGCUCAACCUGGGAACUGCCAUUGUGACUGCAAGGCUAGAGUGCGGCAGAGGGGGAUGGAAUUCCGCGUGUAGCAGUGAAAUGCGUAGAUAUGCGGAGGAACACCGAUGGCGAAGGCAAUCCCCUGGGCCUGCACUGACGCUCAUGCACGAAAGCUGGGAGCAAACA